GCAGCAGUGAGGAAUAUUGGACAACGGGGGAGAGUCUGAUCCAGCCAUGCCGCGUGCAGGAUGACUGCCCUAUGGGUUGUAAACUGCUUUUAUACGGGAAGAAACGCACCUACGUGUAGGUGUCUGACGGUACCGUAAGAAUAAGGACCGGCUAACUCCGUGCCAGCAGCCGCGGUAAUACGGAGGGUCCGAGCGUUAUCCGGAAUCAUUGGGUAUAAAGGGUCCGUGGGCGGGCCAUUAAGUCAGGGGAGAAAGUGGGCAGCUCAACUGUAGAAUUGCCUWAGAUACUGGUUGUCGUGAGUGRGAGRGAAGUGGAAAUAACAUGUGGUGUAGCGRAAAAAUGCAUAUAUAUCACAUAGAACACCGAGAGAGAAGGCAUCUCACYAACAACGUACKGACGGUGAUGGAAGAAAGCGUGGGGAGCGAACGGGAUUAGAUACCCCGUUCGUCGCACGCAGUAAACGACAGAUACUAGCUGUGGGGACUUCGGUCUCGGUGGCCMAGCUAAAGCGAUAAGUUUCC
rnacentral:rRNA from 1 species